rnacentral:rRNA from 1 species
AGACGGAGUGGGCUAGCGUUGUUCGGAAUUACUGGGCGUAAAGCGCACGUAGGCGGACUGAUCAGUUGGGGGUGAAAUCCCAGGGCUCAACCCUGGAACUGCCUCCAAUACUGUCAGUCUUGAGAUCGGAAGAGGUGAGUGGAAUUCCUAGUGUAGAGGUGAAAUUCGUAGAUAUUAGGAGGAACACCAGUGGCGAAGGCGGCUAACUGGUCCGAUACUGACGCUGAGGUGCGAAAGCGUGGGGAGCAAACAGGAGUAGAUACCCUAGUAGUCC